CUUGACAAAGUUUUUACCCCUCUGCCCCCAUUCCAGUCAUUUUUUUCCAUGUGGCUGGACAUACAGGACCAAAACAUUUCUGGCCUCUCUGGGCAGAGUUCCACCAGUUGCCUGGCUCCCAGUUUAGUUUCUGUUUUUAGUAAGUUUUCUCAGGUGGUGGCCUGAAAAAUGAAGGUGUUUUGUUUUCUGGGAAAGGCAAGGCGACAGAGCGCUGUGCAGAGGUAUUCAUUUCCAGUGUGAAGGACAAGCCUUGUGGUUGCCAUAGAAACCUGAAGUCAUAAUGGCGACUAUGAUGGCUUUUUGACAGAAACCUACAUGGCCUGGUGAGAAGAGCAGAGUCUUACUUUCAGGCAUUUGGAUUUAGCUGAGCGGAUGGGUGCCCCACGGCAGGGGCUGAAACUCACUAGGGUGUGGGGAGACUACCAGGUCCAAGUCGCUUCGUUCCUGCUUUAAGACUCAGCGUCCCGCUGUCUCGUGAGGAAGAGAUGUGGGACCUUCCUGGCCCCACUGAGGGUGGCGUCCUGCUCCAGGGUGUCCUGGAGCUACUUUCCAUGUAAAGUCGGGUGCGGGAGGAUGACACAGUGGAUAGACAAGGAAAGUAGAAGAAAAAGACCCUGGUGAGAAACUCAUAUUUUCUUGUAGCUCUUCCUGAAGGUGACUGAACUUAUAUCAGGUGUCUGAAAGAGUAAAUCCACCUUCAGUGAAUUCCUGGGAUCUUGGAUGGUGAGACAGUGAGAAAACAUGUAUGUAUGUGGGUAUAUAGGUAUGUAUGAAUGGGUAUAUUGCUGAAGCUGCCAGGAAUGUUUACUGUGAAGAAUGCUUGCGAUUAAUUACUGCACAUCACAUCAGUCCUAUUCAGUUCCUGCCAUGUAUUGAAAGAAAGAUUGGAGUGGGUGGUUGUUUUUCCUCAGCUUUCUUUGGCAAGCAUGGUUACCAUGGUGACACAGCGACAGCUGUGGGAUUUGAUGGCACAGAGCUUCCAUUUAUUAUUCUUACCUGAAUCACUUAUUAGUAUGAUAGUUGUCAAAUGUUGCUCUUCCAAUUUCAUUAUUCCUCCUAGAAUUAUUAGUUAGAAUUUAAGUAUAGUGAUUCACUUCCAUGUUAUUUAUUAAUAUGUUUGUUCAUGUAUUUAUUUAUAUAAAUAUGACCCAGAGAUUCCUAUUUUUCUCAAGAGAUAACACUCUGUUAUUACUUGUUACUAUCAUUCCAUAUAUUGAUGCUCAAAUUUUUCCGGAAUUGGAUAGUGGAACGACCUUCAAGUUGGCCUUAGUGUCCCUUUGACACCUCCUAGAAUUCCUUGAGCAUGUACUUGGCUUUCUGAGCCUGACCAUCUCCUCAUGUGUAGAAAGAAAGUAAUGAUGUCACUUCAGAGCAUUGCUCUGAGGACUUAAAGAGGAAAAAUCUGAAAAUAACAAUCUACAGCUUGUGACAUCUUGUAGUCCCUUAGCAAGUGUUAUUUCCCCAUUCCAACAUUGCCUCCUUCAUUCUAUCAAUGUGAUGCCUCUGACAUUAACAUAAUAGCAUGACUGCAGGGAAGAUACUUGGAAAUGUAACAUCAAACAGGGAUGAGCCCACAUUUUCGUUAUGUGUGAGCUUCAGUGUCACUGCUGUGUUGGGGAUUGGAGCUGGGAGAAAGAAACAUCACUGCACAGUUUCCAGUUAACUGAGAGGGGAAAGGCAAGACAUCAUCACCCCCCAUCCCCUGCGUUUCGUGUGCUUUCCCAGCCUCUUACUUCCCUCCUUAUUCUAUGUGCUUUCUUAUCCCCUUACUCCCCCUUCUAGUGUAAUAUCAGAGAAGGGUGUGGACUCUGCCUCAGAGCAUAGAGCUGAUACAGAAGAACGAAGUGUGAUGUGGAGCCUGCUAGACUGGUUACUGGAGCAAAAAUGAAGAAAUCAAGGUCUCAUAGUGGGGACACUUUAGACACUUCUUCCAGAAGUUUGACAAUGUGACAUGUUGGUGCCCCCUUGUGACAGAAGCCUGAACUGCAACUUGAACAACGCUGUGCAGGAAGGCAAAAGGUGAAAUAUUCCACAUGAAUGGAGUCCAGUAGAAUUUCUGCAGAGAUGAAAAUAUUCUGUAUUAUGUUAUUGAACACAAUAGCUACUGGCAAUUGUGGCAGUUGAACACCUGAAAUGUGGAUAGAUUCUUAGAAGACAGAUUGAUGGUUCCCAAAGAAAAUUCCCCUGCCCCAUAAAAUACAAGAUUUGAAACAGAGAGCAUCUGGAAAUGUAGCAGCACGACGUGAAUGUUGGUCCUAUCUCAUCAUUCCUUUGAUUCCACAUACUUUCUGGUCACUUAUUUUCUUCCUAGUGUGACAUGGUGAAGGAAUUUCUUAUUGCACCUCAGGAAGAAGAAAUAGUACAGAAGAGCCAAGAACAAUAAUGGGUCAGCUGGACAAAAGAUUGGAGUUAUCAAACCUAUAUCCCAGUUUCCAGACUUAUCAACUGACCGUAGGUCUUGGGGUGAGUCCAUUCCCUUUGUUGGCUUCUGGUCUAACACACAAGAGUACUCAAUAUAGGAACAGUGGUUAGGGACAUGAUCUUUGCAGUGAGAAGGGCCUGGAUUUGACCCUGGAAAUGAUUACUUGUUGGCUGCAUGAUGUAGAGCAAAUAAUUUAUCUACCAUGUGUCCUAUAAUUAAUUGUUGGUGUCUUCUAUUGUUCAUUUUACUAUUACUAUUAUUAUUGUUAUUAUUCUACCACUCAUCCAAAGGGUGAAGAUAGGAGUUGGGAUUAUGUUGUCAGGUGUUAAUGGUGUCCCACGAACCUUUGUUUUUAUAACUGAUGUAUAGAGUGUUUGACAUACAGAUUAUAAGAUGUCUGUAAAAAGCUCAUAAGCAGGCCCAUAUAUGUAAUAUUCAAUAUGUUACAGGUAUGGCAUUUCUAACCAGUUGUAUUGUUCAAAACUUGGAGAUGAGUCAGCUGAUAAAGAGUUCAUUAAAAAACAAAGUUAGAUCAUAUCUUAUACUGUGUCAUUUAAUCAGAAUGAUUCAUCUAUGUGUUAACACUUAAAAUAAAAGUUCAGAUAAAAGCAGAAACAAAAAUAACAAAAACCCAGAAUGCCAAACUCUGUAUAUGGUAUGGUAAUAAUUAUGUAAAAUGUAAUGUACAUAUAUGUCCAUUACAUUUGCAUACAUGCAUGUACAGAAAAUCCAGUGGGUUAAAACACCUUAAUGUGAAUUUCAGUAAGGAUGAGACUACUGGGUAUUAAUAUUUUUAAUUUCUGCACUUGACUCAAUGUUAAAUAUUUGCAAAGAUGAAUGUGGAAUACAUUUAUGAUAAAAAUUUAGCUCCUAAAAUAUCUGCUAUUUAAAUAUUUCAGAAACAAAGCAUAGGUAUAAAGUUAAUCUAAGUUAAGAAAUAACGUUACUCCUCCAUGAUUGAACCCACUUCCUUCUCCCUUAGAGAUAAUCACUACCCAGAAUGAGAUUAUUAUUAUUCCCAUGCAUUGCUUUAUCUUUUUACUCCAUAUGAGAGCUUCUUAAACAAAAUAUAGUAUUGUUUUGUGUGUCUUCACUACACACAAUGUUCUUAUUCUCCAGUUUGCUAAUUUAUUUCUUAUUAUGCAUAUAUGUGUAUCUAUCCUGAUCCUUUCACUAUGGGAAGCCUUGUGAGGAGUUCAAGGGGAAACCUAUGUCAAGAUCCCAGCAAAACAUAUGUCACGUCAUCCGCAAGGCCAAUGUUUGCUUUCUUCCCAGCCCAACAAUUUCAGUCUUUAGCAGCAAUAUAGUUUCUUCACCUUGAUAGUAUCACUAUGGUUUACUAAGUAUUUGGGAAUGUAAGAUGAAGGGAACCACACACAUUCAACUACAUUAUGUAGAAAAAUCAGUGCCACCUGUGUGCUAUGCAAUAUAGUAGUUGGGGAGGCAAAAUCUUUACCCUUCUGACUUAAUAAUUGUGCUUUUCCUGUACUCUGUUGGGGCCCUGUGUGUUCCCAUCAAGCAUGUACAUGAUCUGGGGCUCUGGGACCUUCUUGGAGCUCCAGGAAGAGGUGACCGUGGGUCUGUGGGAGGGACACUGGAGCGAGAGUCAGGAGCUCUUCCUGGGUCCCCAUAUGUCUGAGCCAUCAUACAGGGUGAGUUUUUUCUCCUGCCUUGACCUGCACCGUCACUCAGGUAUUCAUUGUCACUCUUCAAACCUGCCGUCGGCCGGGGGUUGGCGAAGUCAUGGUAACCAUUACACUAGGUCCAUGUCCUUGUGGAACCACUUUUCUAUAUAAGAGGAGGAAGGCCUCUCUGGAGUCAGCCCAGGGACCCAGGAGCAAUCAACACAUGCCAGUUAAAACACCUGUGAAGCACAUUCCUUAUGCAAUUAAAAAAAAAUAAAAAUAUACACAUGUCUAGCACUCAUAAUACAAAAUCAUUUCAAGUUCUAAAUGAGAUGCAUCCCUAAACCAACCAAGAGAUUUGGGCAGUAGUGUGGAUAUAUGAAUACUAACUGCCAGAAAACAUUGUCUUCUUUCAUCAGGAUGUUCUAGAUUAGGUUCUGAAUAUACAAUUUGGAAAUGGGGAACAGUUUGAAUGAAAGACAAAAAAUUAGGCCCAGACAGAUAGGAAGAUGUUUCACAUUUAGGAUACAUUGAGAUAUUGUUUCAGGCAAGUUGUCUCCAGAGAAAUGCUAAGAUGUUGAACACAUCAGGUAAA